CAUCUUUUCUUGUUAGUUUUUGAAGUAUGGCCUGCCCACUGACUUAGAGUUGAAGGGCCGCGGUAUUUUGACCGUGCAAAGGUAGCAUAAUCAUUAGUUCUUUAAUUGUGAUCUGGUAUGAAUGGCUUGACGAGACAUAAGCUGUCUUAGAAGUAUUGAUUUAUUGAAUUUGGUUUUUGAGUUAAAAUUCUUAAAUGUUUUUAUGGGACGAGAAGACCCUAUAGAGUUUGACAAUUUUCCUAUUUAUUCGUUGUUUGUUUUAUUUACAUUGAGUGGGAGUGAAUUGUUUUGUUGGGGUGAUGGGAGGAAUAUUUCUUAACUCCUCUUUAUUUUUAUAUAUUUAUGUAUAUAUUUUUGAUCCAUUUAUUUUGAUUAUAAGAUUAAAUUACCUUA
rnacentral:rRNA from 1 species